rnacentral:lncRNA from 1 species
CUCAGAAAUCCACCUGCCUCUGUAAGAUAACUCUUGAAACAACUAUUUCUAUGUUCUCUGGUCUGGUCUUUCUAUCUGAAGUCCACUGGGCAUGCUCCUGCUGCUAUAGUUUUGUCAUAAAAAUAUUUGUUAUGAAGCACUUGGUGUUAUGCUACACUUGAGUUCAGGUGAAAACUUAUUAUCUUUUUUAUGCUCAGCAGCUUAUAUAAUCCAAGUUUUAAUGUCCUUAUUUUCAGAAAGUGGAUGUCAGGAACAGUUCCCUAUUAGCUUGCUGUGAGGAUUCAAUUUAUUAAUCUGGGAAAGUGUACAGAAGAUAUAUAUAUACACACACAUAUGUAUAUAUCUUAAAAAUGAAGUAGAAAUCAGCUGCGGAAAUGUGGACAACACAAAACCAAACUGUCCUGACACAUUUCUUCAGAAGUUCUGGCUAUACCUUUCUCCCAGGUGAGGAUGGACUCUUUCCAACACUUCAGGCUUGGGAAAUUGGGAUUUCCCUAUUCCUCUUAGAGAGAAUGGAGGUAAAAAGGCAUGUCUGUUUGAUGAGUCAUCUACAGGUGAGUUAUGCUAAAAGGGGGACAGAAGGCUUAGAUGGAGCUAUACAGCACAACUUUCCCCUUCAGCUCAGUGAAUUUUCAAUAGACUGGUAUGCUAGUCAUAUUCUUAUCACUGUGACAAAAUACUGAGAAGAUGAAUGGAAAGGCAGAAAGGUUGGUGUUAGUUCACAGUGUUAAAGGCUCCAGUCCUUUCUAUGUCCUUUCUAUGGUUCUGUCCUUGACUUCUAUUGUCUCUGAACCAGUGGUAAGGCAAAGUCAUCAUUAUGUGAGCACAUGGCAGAUGUGAGCUGCUCACCUAAGGGUGUCCAGGAAGGAGAGAGAGAGAGAGAGAGAGAGAGAGAGAGAGAGAGAGAGAGAGAGAGAGAGAGUUGGUGGUGGUGGUGGUUGGGGAAGGACAGCAUGCACUCUCUGACUUACUUCCUCUGACUAAUAGCACUUGAGCUCUUCACACACACACACACACACACACACACACACACACACAUGCACACACCACAUGAAUUAUCACUGCUCAGUAGCACCAUGAUUUGAAAAUUAACUUUUCAGUAUAUGAACUUCAAGGGGACAUUUUCUAUUAUUAAACCAUAAUAAUUGAUUAUUUAUUUGCAUUGUAAGCUAGUCACAACAAUCAGAUCAUGGGUGGUAUUGCUACCAGGGAUGGAAAUAAAGUUUUCUUCUUUAAUAUUUGGGAUUGAAUAGUUCACUAAAGGAACAAUACUGAAGUAGAAUUUGUAUACAUGAAGACAUCUGGAGAGAAAGCAGAUCACAGACAGGUAGCAUCUAAUUACAAGGUUACAUAGUGUUAAGUUAUUCUCAGCUGUUAAAAUGAGUCAAUUCAAGCCAGAUUAGAGUAUAUAAAGGCAGGUUUAUUGGGAAGCAGCUCUUGGGCUGGAUCAUUGGUCCUAAGAAAGGAGGCUAGGGAAGUUGACAUGGAGAGGUAGACUGAGUGGAGGGGGAGAGAAAGAGAGAAGGAGAGAAAGCAGCGGGUGUGCAUGUAAUGCACAGGGAGAACAAGUGCAGGGAGGGAGACAGAGACAGAUGGAAGGAGAGGGGAAGAGGAGAAAGGGAUGUAGAGAGAGGGGGAGAGGGAGAGAUAGGGAGGGAGAUAGAAAGAGGUAGUGAAGGAGAGGGAGAGAGGGAAAUGGAUGGGGGAGAGGAAGAGGAUAAAGAGGGAGUGGGGGGAAGGGAGGAAGGGAGGAAGGGAGGGAGGGAGAGGGAGAGAGGGAGAGAGAGAGAGAGAGAGAGAGAGAGAGAGAGAGAGAGAGAGCAAGGAAGCAAGCAGUACCUGCAAGCAGAAAAUAUCUGUAUUAUAUAUGGAAAACUUAUUAUAUAGGUAGGGGAAGUCCAGCCCCUGGGCGGGACAGUUCAGAAAUAGGGAAAGACUUGGGGAUGCUGGGAGAACCUGGAGGGCAGGUCUGCUUUGGUUUGUAAAAUAAGCACCUCAGCUGGUUGUCCUGGGUCUGAAUCCCAGCAUAUGGCAUGAAGGAACAAUAGAAUAUUUUAAUAAAGGAGACAAGACUAAAAAGAAAGGAAUUGAGUUUUGUGUUUCUGUUAGUCUGGCUUGUGUACGGAGAUCCUUCUAGAGUCAUUGCUAGGCCUCUGAAGACCCAAAGCUUUCUUCAGUUGUUUCAUUCUUCUUGGAAUAGAGGCAGGCAGAAUAUUUUCUAUCUUUGUAAAUCUGCAUCUUGAGUUGAGGGAGGUCCUGCAUCUGCUGCUCCUUAAUUGCCUUCAGCUCAACAAUCUUCCAUAUUUUGCUAAGGCACAUUCUGUUCUCCCACAGCACAAAGCUGGCAGUUGUUAGCUUUUAUUGCUGCCAGUGAAGAAAUUUAUUAAAAGCAAAAUCAAACCCUCAUAAAGUAGAGAACAUUCUAGCACACUGAACAGGACAAAGUAGUGGUCUCCUUUAGCUUGAAUCAGCUUAGCCUAAUGGAGAGUUGAUUACAGCUUCUUUAUUUUCAACAUUCUAUGAAUCUAACGGAAACAUUGCUUUAAGUUGCCAGCAGAACCUGUCCCAUGUUUGAGAACCACAGCUUUGAGUCACACAAAGACUUAAGAAAUAUAAGCAAGAAGACACCAGAGCUAUGAAUAUGCUAGGUGUUGGAGCUACAUAGUCUUUUAGAGAGAAUGGUAAUGUUGCCUUCAUUAUGUUUGCUAAAUUUUUCCUUUCCAGUCUCUGGUCUUUGAUGAAAGAAUUUCAGAAUAUCAGUAUCAUACUUGAUGUGGUGGCAGAAAUAUGUUUUCCAUCCAUAAAAAGGCUAAUGACUUUUCUUCUGUUUAUAGCUGAGUGAUUUGCUUCUAACAGGGCUGGCCUCUGUAGUCCUUACUGAGAGAGUUCUUGCCUGCAGCCUGCUAGUGCCAUUUGCAUACUAAUCAUUUCCGUAAUUGAUCUUGCCAGGUCUUUUCAAACCUUGUAGGAGGCACUGGCCUGCUGCUCUGAAAUUAACUAAGGCCUCCCUGGAGAGGAGCUGUGUCACAUGAGUAUCCUGACACAUCAGUUCCUCCACCUAAAUGUGCCCUGUGACCCCACACUGGAGGAUUCUGAUCAGUGUGCAGGGAGUCCCUGCAACUUCCAGGAAGAAGACUGUGUAUUCCAGUAGCAUUUCAACAAAACAACAGGAGCAGCAGCAGCAGCAGUAACUGCAACAACAACAACAACAACAACAACAACAACAACAACAACAAUGAAUUGAAAAUCAAGCCAAGAACACCACAAGAAGAGCCACAGAGUCAAGAACCUGAGACCAUGAAUGGGGGCUCACAGAGCUUGGGCCACCAACCGGGGAGCACACAAUAGCUAGAAAUAGAUGCUCUAUACAUUUGUAGCAAACAUACAGCUUGCCUUUUAGGUGGGGCCCCUAACAAAUGGAGCAGAGGUUGUCUUCAUCCCUGUUCCCUGCCAUUGGAUGCCCUUCCCCUGACCUAGGCUGCCUGGUUGGGCCUCAGUGGGAGAGGGUGCCUAUUGCUUCUGGGACUAGAUGCCCCAGGGUGGGGUGGUACCCAAGGGGAGCUUCGGAGGAGGGACUUUUAAGGGUGGGCCUGGGAAGACCAGAGGGAAGGUAGCUGUGAUUGGGAUGUAAAGUGAAUAAAUAAAAAAUAAAAAUAAAAAACAGAUGAAAAUCAAAACCAGGAAAACUGUCCACAUUUCCUUGAAAUGCUGUACCCAUCUCCUUUCUGUUAAACUAGUAUGGAAACCUUAACCUCUGGGCAUUCAGUGAGCAAUUCCAAUGCAAGUGUGAAUAUUUGUCUUUUCUCUUGCUAAUCAAUUACCAGUUAAUUUGAAGGUCUGCUUCUGGAGUCAAAUCUUAAUGGAUAGAGUAAAAGUUCAUUCUUCUAAUAACUGAAAAGUCAAAUCUCAAGUGCUAGCUCACAGUUUUAUGAUGAACAUCAGUCUUUAAGCAAUAUCCUCUGACAGACUAAAUGUAUGCAUAGUUUUGUUUGAGAACCAAAAUAAUGUUGAUAAAUUUCAAUUGUUAGGGACAACACAGUAAAUAUUUUAGACUUGGGGGGUUAUAUGGUGUCUCUUGCCAUGCUUAAUUGUGCUCUUGUGGUAUAGGAGCAUCCGUCAGUAUCCAUCAGUAACACUUACAUAAGCAAGUAUGGCUAUAUUUCAAUAAAGUUUUAUUGGUAGAUACUGAAGUUUCAUAAACUUUUCAUUUUUUUUUAAUUACUAAAUAUUUUCCUCAGAACUCCUUAAUUUGUUUGGUAUAUAAAAACUGAUAGCUGGCUAGACUUGGUGUGGGCCAUAGCUUGUUGACUAUUUAUCUAGACCAUUAUGCCCAGCCUUUUUUACUUUAUAGAACACAUGGAGAAUGAUGCUUGAACCACAUGCUGGGGUAAAUGACCAUGGACACUCAUGGUGGAGUUGGAUUUGAUGGAUUGUUAGCUGGUAGACCUUUGACUGUAUUGAGAGCUGAGACCACUGAAAAACAUGUAAUUUAUUCACUAGUUUACAAGCUACUGAUAUGGAAUCCUAGACAGUCUUCCCAUCUUCUAUCUCAGUACAUGACACGAUGCAGACUAUUUGAAGACCCUUUGAAUAUUCUAGAGAUAAGCUGACUAUUGUCUGAGCACUCAUUUCUCAAAAAAAUGCAGGAAACCAUGACUAAAUUAUACAUAGAUAAUUAUACUAGAGUUUAUACUGGUUGAAGAGAAAGCCAUAUUUUGUCAGAAAGUGCUAUCCUGGGUCCUCAAGUCCCAUCAGUGGUAGCCAGCAAAGUUGUUCAACCCUCGGUACCUCUGGUUCAUUCUGUCCUGGACAUCUCUGUAUAUACUGGGGAUUAUAAGAAAUCAUGAUGUUUUAAUUGCUGGGCUAUUUGCAAUGAUUUUUUUUACAGCCUUACUUAAAGAUCAAGAAUGGCUUAAAGACUAAAAAGAGAUAUGGAUAAUUUAAAAUUUGAUAUUCUAGGUUAUAAUGCUCUAUUUCAUAAUCUCACAACUAAGUAUAAGUUAAUAAGUUUAUAGAUACUAUAUCUAAGUCAACUGUAUAGUAUUCUUCUGAAUAGGUCUAUAUGGAACUGUGACUCCUCAGCUUCAUAUGUUGAAAUCUUACUCUUUAGUGCCUAGUGCCUCCAAAUGGCUGGAAUUGAACAUAU